rnacentral:rRNA from 1 species
AUUGAACGCUGGCGGCAGGCCUAACACAUGCAAGUCGAGCGAGCGGCGGACGGGUGAGUAAUGUAUGGGGAACUGCCCGAUAGAGGGGGAUAACUACUGGAAACGGUGGCUAAUACCGCAUACCAUCGGAUGUGCCCAUAUGGGAUUAGCUAGUAGGUGGGGUAAAGGCUCACCUAGGCGACGAUCUCUAGCUGGUCUGAGAGGAUGAUCAGCCAAACUGGCACUGAGACACGGCCCAGACGCCUACGGGAGGCAGCAGUGGGGAAUAUUGCACAAGGGGCGAAAGCCUGAUGCAGCCAUGCCGCGUGUAUGAAGAAGGCCUUAGGGUUGUAAAGUACUUUCAGCGGGGAGGCGGGAAGCGAAGAAGAAGCACCGGCUAACUCCGUGCCAGCAGCCGCGGUAAUAG